UAGCUAUGAAAAUUUCAACAUAUAUAAAGCAAUCAACGACACAUAUAUAUAUAACAGCAAAAUAACAAAGUGCACUAAUUAAUCAUGUUUCUUAAUGCAUACACACGAGUAGCUAUUCUAUAUAUUUGAGAUCUUUAUAUGCGAUACAUAAAUUGCCAAAGGAUAAUUAGUUGCCCUUCCAUAUAGGUUAAGAUCUUGAGGGUUUUCAGCUAUGACCUAACUAGUAGUUAGGUCUAAGAUGAACCAUUUUGCCUUUAGUUUCGCUUCUUUACUUCCAUCGUGUUGAUGCAAACACUUUCGAUGAUGAGAUCUUAACUGGCUUGGGACUCAUUUUGAAAUAUGUUGCUGGAAGAAAGAAAGAAAGGUUAGUGCAUAUAUAAAUACAAGAGUUGAGGAUGAGAGCAAAAAAGAAGAGAAUAAUAGUGGUGCUCAAGUGAGGGAGACAUGUUUGGUUAUAGUAGUGGCUUUUGCAGGUGAAAAAGGAAGUGGAGGAAUGGAUCUUCUCAGCAUAUACCUUGAGAAACCUUGGCUGCUUUUUUGCCAUUUAUUUACUUUAUCUAAAAAAUUAGGAAAAUGUUUCUUACACACCCAUCCAAAUGUGUAUACACCAUGAGAGGAAAGUUGAGUUCUUUCAAAAUGUGAUUUACACAUGAGAGAGUUAUGUGUAAUCUCACACUAUUCAAGAGAGAAAUUAUAUAUUAUUUAAAUCUUUUAUAUGUUUCUGUUUCAUUUUGGAUGGUGAGAAAUUACACCUUACCAUCUCAUUUGUAAAUCAUUCAUGAGAGGAUCCAAAUCCCCUUGAGCUAGAUAAAGAUAAGAGAAAGUUGUGUGAUAGAUGUGAUACAUUGAUA
rnacentral:lncRNA from 1 species